rnacentral:rRNA from 1 species
UACGUAGGGGGGCAAGCGUUGUCCGGAGUUAUUGGGCGUAAAGCGCGUGUAGGCGGCUUUGCAAGUCGGGUGUGAAAGCCCUCAGCUCAACUGAGGAAGUGCGCCCGAAACUGCAGAGCUUGAGUGCCGGAGAGGGUGGCGGAAUUCCCCAAGUAGAGGUGAAAUUCGUAGAUAUGGGGAGGAACACCGGUGGCGAAGGCGGCCACCUGGACGGUAACUGACGCUGAGACGCGAAAGCGUGGGGAGCAAACAGG